CAUCAACGCCAUCACUUUCUCUCCAUCAAAGCCAUCACCUCCAAAACAACAACCACUCGGCAUACGCUUUUCAAUAAUAUCGGUGACGUCCAAGAAAAAAGUAAUGGUGAAGCUAG
rnacentral:sRNA from 1 species